rnacentral:rRNA from 1 species
UACGGGGGGGCAAGCGUUGUUCGGAAUCACUGGGCGUAAAGGGUGCGUAGGCGGGUUAUUAAGUCAGAGGUGAAAUCCUGGAGCUCAACUCCAGAACUGCCUUUGAUACUGAUAGUCUUGAGUAUGGGAGAGGUGAGUGGAACUGCGAGUGUAGAGGUGAAAUUCGUAGAUAUUCGCAAGAACACCAGUGGCGAAGGCGGCUCACUGGCCCAUUACUGACGCUGAGGCACGAAAGCGUGGGGGAGCAAACAGG